rnacentral:rRNA from 1 species
GACGAACGCUGGCGGCGUGCUUAACACAUGCAAGUCGAGCGGUAAGGCCCUUUCGGGGGUACGACGAGCGGCGAACGGGUGAGUAACACGUGGGUGACCUGCCCUCAGCUCUGGGAUAAGCCUGGGAAACCGGGUCUAAUACUGGAUAUGACUCCAUGACGCAUGUUGUGGGGUGGAAAGCCUUGUGCGGCUGAGGAUGGGCCCGCGGCCUAUCAGCUUGUUGGUGGGGUGANGGCCUACCAAGGCGACGACGGGUAGCCGGCCUGAGAGGGCGACCGGCCACACUGGGACGUGAGACACGGCCCAGACUCCUACGGGAGGCAGCAGUGGGGAAUCUUGCGCAAUGGGCGAAAGCCUGACGCAGCGACGCCGCGUGAGGGAUGACGGCC